GGGAAGGUAGCUUAGUGGUAGAGUGCUUGCCUUGCAGGCAUGAGGCCCUGGGUUCAAUUCCUCAGCACCACCU
rfam:Dipodomys ordii contig_77639, whole genome shotgun sequence.